ensembl:lncRNA
UUUUGUAUUAUUUUCUUUGAAAGAACAACUAGUGGGUUUUGAGUGCUUCUACCCUAUUUGGGAAGUUGGUCUGCCUGCUCCUCAGUCUGAGAGAGAUUCUGAGAGCAGGUUCGUGUCUCCUUCCUCUGUACAUAAAAACUGUACUGUAUAACAUAAGUGUUUUUGGAAAACUGGUUCAUAUAUCCUGAAGUCAAUAGCGAAUAUGGCUAUGAAAAUAUUUAAUUUGCCGUUAAUGUAUUGAAGACCUAUUUCAACAAGUUAACCAAGUUUUUGCUGGCUUAGCUAGCCAUGUUAACGAUGAGCUAACUUAACUAGCACCAUUGGUCACUGCACUACAAUGUCACGCUAGCUAUUGCCAGCAGGUGAUUUGCUAGCAGGUGACUUAUUGAAAUAUUAAGUGAAUGUUUAUUUUCUUACUACCUUUUAAAAGGUUUAUAUAAAAGGGUUGUACUUGUGCUCUGUAUUUAUGGAUUAAUAUCACUUCACAUUGAGGGUAUGUAUCACUACUGUUGCUCCUAUCUAAAAGAUAUCUUGUGGGCUACCUAACCAGUGAACGUUUGUGGCUGUGACCGUCCUGUCAAUGCCUGUCAUCACUGUUUGACAUCUUUUACUGCAGGUUUGCUUUUCUGUAUUUUUGUUAUUGUAUACUAUACAAUCACUUUGUAGAUUGGGUCUGAGAGAGAUAUUCUGAGAGCAGUGAACGUGUGGCUGUGACCGUCCUGUCAAUGCCUGUCAUCACUGUUUGAUAUCUUUUACUUACUAAAAACCUAGUAAACCUGAAGUGCGGGUGUCCGUGCGCCUUUCUUCUGAGGGGCUAUGUAAAGUUGGUUACAUCAGCAAGGGACACACUUUGUAUGUGGACAAUUGGUACCUCAGUCCCACACACUUCCUGCAUCUGCUCUCCAACAGCACAGGGACCUGUAGCACAGUCAGGUCAAACGGGAAGGGGAUGCCGGCAUUCGGAUGCAGGAAGAUAAAGAGAGGGGAGGUGGAGUUCAAGGAGAACGGUCAACAGCUGGCAGUAAAGUGGCAUGACAAACGAGACGUCCAUGUCCUCUCCACUGUCCAUACAGCAACCAUGUCGGCCACAGGGAAGGUGGACCAACUGACGGGAGAGAGAAAAAUCAAACCAGACUAACUAACAGAUAAAGUAAUUACCUACCAAAAGUACAGAGAGAACCUUAUGAGGGACCUGCUGGAGGAGCACCACACCCAUCAGCGCCCAUCCACUGGGGGUCGUCCUGCUGCGGACAAUCCCCUAAGCCUCACUGCACGGCAUUUUCCCUGCAAAGACCCUCAAACUGCUGCUCAAGGUAGUCGCACACAGGCACUGCAAAGUUUGCCUGUCUGGCACCAUGAGAAGAAAGCAGAGGAAGUUGUCAAUAUACAUGCAUUUAGCUUGUGAUACACCUCUAUGUAUUUCACCAUGCUUUGGGGAGUAUCAUAUGCUCAAGCAAUAUUGAGCACAUCUGCAGCAAUUAGUGACUGACUGAUGGACCUGACAGGUGACUUUCCUUCCAUGAUACUAGUUGUUCAAUCACUGCAUGAAUAUUAAAUACGGGUUAUGGAUAUUCCGUUUUUUUUCCUCUAGUAAAAUGUUCAACCAACCACCACCAUUACUUACAUAUUGGCCUUUGUUUUCUUGCUGUGUUUUCAUCCAGUAAAACUUAAGGAGUGUACGGUAGCAUACAAAAGCUGGCCUCAAUCUGCAGCUCAAAAGAUGUCCAGUUCUAGUUAUGAUAUUAGCAAAUACUGUUUGUGGUUUCUGAAAGUACAGAAUAGAGGUAUUCUAAUGAAUAAUAAUUCAAUAUAAGGAUAUAGCAAUAAAACAAUAUUACAAAGAAGUAACAUAAUAAACACUGCUAAAAAAAAUGCUAUUGCAUUGACAAAAUCACAAAUUUGAGUUAUAACAGUAACUUCUGAGCUCCACAAGGGAGCAAGGCAGGCCAGAACAGAGCUAUGCUAAUAGGCCAACUGAAAACAAACCAUGGUUAUAUUUUUUUAUUUUAUUUAACCAUUAUUUAAC